rnacentral:sRNA from 1 species
UGCAACGUCCAUAGGCGUCUCCGAACGCCC